UACGUAGGGUGCAAGCGUUGUCCGGAAUUACUGGGCGUAAAGCGUGCGCAGGCGGUUUUGUAAGUCAGAUGUGAAAUCCCCGGGCUUAACCUGGGAACUGCAUUUGUGACUGCAUGGCUGGAGUGCGGCAGAGGGGGAUGGAAUUCCGCGUGUAGCAGUGAAAUGCGUAGAUAUGCGGAGGAACACCGAUGGCGAAGGCAAUCCCCUGGGCCUGCACUGACGCUCAUGCACGAAAGCGUGGGGAGCAAACAGG
rnacentral:rRNA from 1 species